GCGCCUGUGGCUCAAAGAGUAGGGCGCCAGCCCCAUAUACUGGAGGUGGUGGGUUCAAACCCACCCUGGCCA
rnacentral:tRNA from 1 species